AGAGUUUGAUCCUGGCUCAGAACGAACGCUGGCGGCGUGCUUAAUACAUGCAAGUCGAGCGAGGUUACUGUUUCGGAUCCCUUCGGGGUGAAGAAGCUUUAACCUAGCGGCGGACGGGUGAGUAACGCGUGGGUAACCUACCCCAAAGUCCGGGAUAACAGCGGGAAACCGCUGCUAAUACCGGAUGUCCUUACCUUGGGGCAUCUUGAGGUAAAGAAAGGUAACGCUUUAGGAUGGGCCCGCGUCCCAUUAGCUAGUUGGUGAGGUAACAGCUCACCAAGGCGACGAUGGGUAGCCGGCCUGAGAGGGUGGACGGCCACACUGGGACUGAGACACGGCCCAGACUCCUACGGGAGGCAGCAGUAGGGAAUAUUGCGCAAUGGACGGAAGUCUGACGCAGCGACGCCGCGUGAGCGAUGAAGGCCUUCGGGUCGUAAAGCUCUGUCCUUGGGGAAGAAGGUCUUCGGACUUGACGGUACCCAAGAAGAAAGCCCCGGCUAACUACGUGCCAGCAGCCGCGGUAAUACGUAGGGGGCGAGCGUUGUCCGGAAUUACUGGGCGUAAAGGGUGCGUAGGCGGCCCUUUAAGUCAGAUGUGAAAGCCCGCAGCUUAACUGCGGAAUUGCAUUUGAAACUGGAGGGCUUGAGUGUCGGAGAGGGUAGUGGAAUUCCCAGUGUAGCGGUGAAAUGCGUAGAUAUUGGGAGGAACACCAGUGGCGAAGGCGACUGCCUGGACGAUAACUGACGCUGAGGCACGAAAGCUAGGGGAGCAAACAGGAUUAGAUACCCUGGUAGUCCUAGCCGUAAACGAUGGGUACUAGGUGUAGGUGGUUUCGAUACCAUCUGUGCCGUAGUUAACGCAUUAAGUACCCCGCCUGGGGA
rnacentral:rRNA from 1 species